rnacentral:misc_RNA from 1 species
CCGAGUGAGGGCCCCCGGCCCGACCUCCAACCCAAUGUUGACCCACCUGUUGCCUCGGGGGCGACCCGGACGCCGACGCGUCGGUCGUCGGGCACCCCGGUGGACCAUUCCAACUCUGUUAUCUGUGCGUCGGAGUACUUUGCGAAUCAAUCA